rfam:Schistosoma mattheei strain Denwood, Zambia genome assembly, scaffold: SMTD_scaffold0010608
AUCCAGCUGAUGAAUUCCAAGCAGAACGAAACGUGCGUCGUGGAU